GUCUCAAGAGUGAACACGUAAUUCAUUACGAAGUUUAAUUCAUUGAGCAUCAAACUUUUAAAUUGAAGAGUUUGAUCAUGGCUCAGAUUGAACGCUGGCGGCAGGCCUAACACAUGCAAGUCGAACGGUAACAGGAAGCAGCUUGCUGCUUUGCUGACGAGUGGCGGACGGGUGAGUAAUGUCUGGGAAACUGCCUGAUGGAGGGGGAUAACUACUGGAAACGGUGGCUAAUACCGCAUAACGUCGCAAGACCAAAGAGGGGGACCUUCGGGCCUCUUGCCAUCAGAUGUGCCCAGAUGGGAUUAGCUUGUUGGUGAGGUAACGGCUCACCAAGGCGACGAUCCCUAGCUGGUCUGAGAGGAUGACCAGCCACACUGGAACUGAGACACGGUCCAGACUCCUACGGGAGGCAGCAGUGGGGAAUAUUGCACAAUGGGCGCAAGCCUGAUGCAGCCAUGCCGCGUGUAUGAAGAAGGCCUUCGGGUUGUAAAGUACUUUCAGCGGGGAGGAAGGUGUUGUGGUUAAUAACCGCAGCAAUUGACGUUACCCGCAGAAGAAGCACCGGCUAACUCCGUGCCAGCAGCCGCGGUAAUACGGAGGGUGCAAGCGUUAAUCGGAAUUACUGGGCGUAAAGCGCACGCAGGCGGUCUGUCAAGUCGGAUGUGAAAUCCCCGGGCUCAACCUGGGAACUGCAUUCGAAACUGGCAGGCUUGAGUCUUGUAGAGGGGGGUAGAAUUCCAGGUGUAGCGGUGAAAUGCGUAGAGAUCUGGAGGAAUACCGGUGGCGAAGGCGGCCCCCUGGACAAAGACUGACGCUCAGGUGCGAAAGCGUGGGGAGCAAACAGGAUUAGAUACCCUGGUAGUCCACGCCGUAAACGAUGUCUACUUGGAGGUUGUGCCCUUGAGGCGUGGCUUCCGGAGCUAACGCGUUAAGUAGACCGCCUGGGGAGUACGGCCGCAAGGUUAAAACUCAAAUGAAUUGACGGGGGCCCGCACAAGCGGUGGAGCAUGUGGUUUAAUUCGAUGCAACGCGAAGAACCUUACCUGGUCUUGACAUCCACGGAAGUUUUCAGAGAUGAGAAUGUGCCUUCGGGAACCGUGAGACAGGUGCUGCAUGGCUGUCGUCAGCUCGUGUUGUGAAAUGUUGGGUUAAGUCCCGCAACGAGCGCAACCCUUAUCCUUUGUUGCCAGCGGUCCGGCCGGGAACUCAAAGGAGACUGCCAGUGAUAAACUGGAGGAAGGUGGGGAUGACGUCAAGUCAUCAUGGCCCUUACGACCAGGGCUACACACGUGCUACAAUGGCGCAUACAAAGAGAAGCGACCUCGCGAGAGCAAGCGGACCUCAUAAAGUGCGUCGUAGUCCGGAUUGGAGUCUGCAACUCGACUCCAUGAAGUCGGAAUCGCUAGUAAUCGUGGAUCAGAAUGCCACGGUGAAUACGUUCCCGGGCCUUGUACACACCGCCCGUCACACCAUGGGAGUGGGUUGCAAAAGAAGUAGGUAGCUUAACCUUCGGGAGGGCGCUUACCACUUUGUGAUUCAUGACUGGGGUGAAGUCGUAACAAGGUAACCGUAGGGGAACCUGCGGUUGGAUCACCUCCUUACCUUAAAGAAGCGUACUUUGCAGUGCUCACACAGAUUGUCUGAUGAAAA
rnacentral:rRNA from 1 species